rnacentral:rRNA from 1 species
CUCGUAGUUGGAUUUCGGGUGGGUCUCAGCGGUCCGCCUAUGGUGAGUACUGCUGUGGCCUUCCUUACUGUCGGGGACCUGCUUCUGGGCUUCAUUGUCCGGGACAGGGAUUCGGCAUGGUUACUUUGAGUAAAUUAGAGUGUUCAAAGCAGGCUUACGCCGUGAAUACUUUAGCAUGGAAUAACAUGAUAGGACUCUGCCCUAUUCUGUUGGCCUGUAGGAGUGGAGUAAUGAUUAAGAGGAACAGUCGGGGGCAUUCGUAUUUCAUUGUCAGAGGUGAAAUUCUUGGAUUUAUGAAAGACGAACUACUGCGAAAGCAUUUGCCAAGGAUGUUUUCAUUAAUCAAGAACGAAAGUUGGGGGCUCGAAGACGAUUAGAUACNNCGUAGUCA